rnacentral:lncRNA from 1 species
UCUUCAACACCUCCCUCUUUCUUCUUUAUGUUCUUUAUUUUCCAACAAAUUUCUGAUGCUCCAUUCUAUCAAUUUCUUUCUUACUUGGGACUGUGAAGCCACCAAGUGAGAAGGAAAUUGAUUUAGUCGAGUAUCAAGGCACAACAUCAUCACUAUCUGCUGCGAUUUCUCUUUAUGAGUUUUCGCUUCAGCCUCUCUUUAAAUUCUUUGUUUAUUUAUUUAUUUAUAUGUAUCACUAACUUCGAACCCACAGUUUUGUCAAUAUAUCCAUAUAUUUGUGUUUUGCAGAUUUUAUAUGUGAAUAUGGCAAAGAUGACACUCCACUUUGUUAUUGUUAUUAUCGGAUUAUUGUUUAACCAUACCUGUACGUUCACAGGAAGUGAGAAGGUAUCCCCGGUGCCAAAGGACAAAUCAAUGAUUUCUAACUUUGAUCUAUUUAGCAGACAAAUUCAGCUCCACUUCCUUAGUAUAUUAUUAAUUAUUUCUAACUUGCGGCUUAAAUUCUUCGCCUCCUUCUCAACUUACACAAAACCUUUUUUGUUCCCUAGAAAAAAUUACAAACAAAAUAUGCAGAUGUUUAUCCUAUAGACUUGGUGCUGGUGCUUUUCAAAGGACCCAUGGCUUAAUCUAAUUAAUUCAUGUUGUGAUUCUUAGAACUGAACAUCAAAUUCAAAAAAUGAAAGGAAAGAUGGAUUCUAAGUUAUUUUUUGUUUAGUGAUUUUACCUAUAUCUCAUUUUAUGUCAGGGGAAAAAGAGGAAAAUGAAAACGAUUUAUUCUUUUUCUCCUAUGAAGUUUUUUGUUUUUUUUUUUUUUUUUGGAGGGGGGGGGGGGGAGGGAGUAGUGGUCAUAAGGUAAAUGAACAUCAAUGUUUAUCUUCCUUGUAAUCUCAUGAGUUUGAGCUUUGGGGGCUACGUCCAUGUGGAUGAUAUGUAAAAUGGCAGGACAACGUCUUGAGAGGACGGACGUAUUUGGUGGAUGUGGGGCAGCGAACGUGCGACUGUGGAUUUAAAAGUUAGAAAGGUGGGAGCAUCGCGAGACCUGGCUAGUAUCGGUCGAUUUUAGCCAUCAACCAAGCAAUGACCGCGCGACUCUCACACUUUGAGUCGCCGAGUUUCUCACCGCUCAUAUAGAUCUCGUUGAAAAAGAAAUAUCUCAGCAUUAUCUCUAUUUAAUUUUGAUUUUUUCUAUUUUUAAUAUACCUCAAACAUAUUAUAGAUAAUCUCUACAACUUAAACUCACGAGUAAGUUAAAAAUAAACACCCAUAAUUAAUAUGCUGGGUUUAUGUCAUAAUUAUUUAAAAUAUCAUGUUUUAAAUAAAUCUCGACAUAUUAAGAUUCUCAUUAUAUAAUGUUGAUGAGGAUAUCAACUAGAGACAAAUUAUACAAAUUUUUAUUUAAAAGAAUUCCCGUAAGGGUGAAAUCUUAUUGAAGCGUCAAUAAUUCAGCUAAUAUGUUUCUUAUGUAUUGAAUCGAUGAAUGUACUAUUUGAUAACAAUAUCAUUUUUAUGUAAUGCUUAAACUCCUUGCAAAUUUUCAUGUUACAAUGAAUUUUUUGCAACAAUUUUAGUAUAUAGUCCUUUUUCUUCAAUAUAUAUACAUAUGAGAGUUAAUGUCUAAUAUCUAUUACAAAUUUUAAAAUUUAGCGGGUUACCCAUUUUUAUAGGCCUAAUGAUGCUCCCAGUCCAAUACAAUUUGCGUAUUUAAAAUUUAAUCCUAUUAUUUUAAUUAUUUAGAAUUUAAUUCCUUUACUCGUUUGGUUUAAUAAUUGAAAUUUAAUUGACAACAUUGUCAAAAGAUUUUUGUUGAAUUAGAUUUCAUAGUUUUUUUCUUUUUUUAAAUUGCU